rnacentral:misc_RNA from 1 species
UUUCCGUAGGUGAACCUGCGGAAGGAUCAUUCAUAAUAAGUGUUUUAUGGCACUUUUUUAAAUCCAUAUCCACCUUGUGUGCAAUGUCAGGGUUGAUUUUUCUCUCGAGAGGAUCGGCCCCAAACACCAACUAUAUCCCAACUCUUUGUCUGAAAAAUAUUAUGAAUAAAACAAUUCAAAAUACAACUUUCAACAACGGAUCUCUUGGCUCUC